GAGGGUGUAGCUCAGGGGCACAGCAUGUGCUUAGAUGCACAAGGUCCUGGGUUCAAUCCCCAGUACCUCCA
rnacentral:tRNA from 1 species